AGAGUCACUCCUACGGGAGGCAGCAGUGGGGAAUUUUCCGCAAUGGGCGAAAGCCUGACGGAGUGACGCCGCGUGUGGGAUGAAGGCCUUCGGGUCGUAAACCACUGUCAGUGGGAAAGAUGGGUGUCGGCGCGAUAACCGCCGGCAUCUGACGGUACCUGCAGAGGAAGCCCCGGCUAACUCUGUGCCAGCAGCCGCGGUAAGACAGAGGGGGCAAGCGUUGCUCGGAAUUACUGGGCGUAAAGGGCGCGUAGGCGGGAUGGCAAGUCGGUCGUGAAAUCCCUCGGCUCAACUGAGGAGCGUCGAUCGAAACUGCCGUUCUUGAGGGUUGCAGAGGAGACUGGAAUUCCCGGUGUAGCGGUGAAAUGUGUAGAGAUCGGGAGGAACACCGGUGGCGAAGGCGGGUCUCUGGGCAACUCCUGACGCUGAGGCGCGAAAGCGUGGGGAGCAAACGGGAUUAGAUACCCCGGUAGUCCACGCUGUAAACGAUGACGACUAGGUGUGGGGGGGUUCAGUCCCUUCCGUGCCGCAGCUAACGCAUUAAGUCGUCCGCCUGGGGAGUACGGCCGCAAGGUUGAAACUUAAAGGAAUUGACG
rnacentral:rRNA from 1 species